AGUGAACGCUGGCGGUAGGCCUAACACAUGCAAGUCGAACGGCAGCACAGUAAGAGCUUGCUCUUACGGGUGGCGAGUGGCGGACGGGUGAGGAAUACAUCGGAAUCUACCUUUUCGUGGGGGAUAACGUAGGGAAACUUACGCUAAUACCGCAUACGACCUACGUGUGAAAGCAGGGGAUCUUCGGACCUUGCGCGAUUGAAUGAGCCGAUGUCGGAUUAGCUAGUUGGGGGGGUAAAGGCCCACCAAGGCGACGAUCCGUAGCUGGUCUGAGAGGAUGAUCAGCCACACUGGAACUGAGACACGGUCCAGACUCCUACGGGAGGCAGCAGUGGGGAAUAUUGGACAAUGGGCGCAAGCCUGAUCCAGCCAUACCGCGUGGGUGAAGAAGGCCUUCGGGUUGUAAAGCCCUUUUGUUGGGAAAGAAAAGCAGCAGGUUAAUACCCCGCUGUUCUGACGGUACCCAAAGAAUAAGCACCGGCUAACUUCGUG
rnacentral:rRNA from 1 species